rnacentral:rRNA from 1 species
AUUGAACGCUGGCGACAGGCCUAACACAUGCAAGUCGAGCGCGAAAGUCUUCGGAUGAGUAAAGCGGCGAACGGGUGAGUAAUGCAUGGGAAUCUGCCUGGUAGUGGGGGACAACGUCUCGAAAGGGACGCUAAUACCGCAUACGCCUACGGGGAAAGGGGGGAGUCUUCGGACCUCUCGCUAUCAGAUGAGCCCAUGUCAGAUUAGCUAGUUGGUGAGGUAAAGGCUCACCAAGGCGACGAUCUGUAACUGGUCUGAGAGGAUGAUCAGUCACACUGGAACUGAGACACGGUCCAGACUCCUACGGGAGGCAGCAGUGGGGAAUAUUGGACAAUGGGGGGCAACCCUGAUCCAGCCAUGCCGCGUGUGUGAAGAAGGCCCUAGGUUGUAAAGCACUUUCAGUGGGGAGAAAGGUUAUUCACCUAAUACGUGAGUAGAUUGAUGUUACCA